GAGAAAUAAAUAAAUAAAUAAAUAAAUAAAUAAAUAAAUAAAUAAAGUGGUGUUACCAGAGCCCAAGAAUCUGGGUUAUCCAGCGCAAGCCUGUCUGGCAGGAUCUGGGGUUAUAGAGGAGCUGCAACCAGUACCAGACAUAUUACCCAAGACAGAGAGGAAGUUCUACAGAAAUGUCCAAGCUUCUCCCUGUUCCCAGUCUUCAGCCUUUUACCAGUGCCUCCCAGUGGCCAAAGCUAGCUGGAAGCUAGAAUGUGUUCUUUCUGUUUGGAAACUUACAAGGUUUUCUCUUUAUACUUGGAAUUCAAGGAUUUCACAAGGAUAAAUUUUGAUGUGUGUCUCUUUUCAUUAUCAUUCAUAAGACUCAGUGAACACUUUUAAUCUGCGAACCCAAAUCUUUCUUCAACUCAGGGAAAUUUUCUUUUUUUUUUGAGACGGAGUCUUGCUCUGUCACCCAGGCUAGAGUGCAGUGGCGUGAUGUCAGCUCACUGCAACCUCCGCCUCCCAGGUUCAAGUGAUUCUCCUGCCUCAGCCUCCCAAGUAGCUGGGAUUACAGGCGCCCACCACCGCGCCCGGCUAAUUUUUGUAUUUUUAGUAGAGACGGGGUUUCACCGUCUUGGCCAGGCUGGUCUCGAACUCCUGACCUCAGGUGAUCCACCCGCCUCGGCCUCCCAAAGUGCUGGGAUUACAGGCGUGAGCCAUCGCGCCCAGCCCGGAAAUUUUCUUCUAUUAUUUAUCUAGUUAGGUUUUCGCUUUCUUAUAUUCACUUUAUCCUUCUGGACUCCUGUCAUUUUCACAACAGAUCUCCUGAGUUUCUUAAUCCUCAAUGAUUUCUAUUUCUUUACAUUUUUGUUCUCUGUUGAAAGCUAUUUCUUCCGCUUGAUCUUCCAGAUUGCUAAUUUGGUUCUCAGUUAAGGAUCAUCCUCUUUUCCAGUUUGUGCACUAAUUUUUUUUUUAAUUCUAAAAUCAUGUUUUCUAGUUCUAGAUUGUCUUUUUUGUGCUCUAAUUGCACAUCCUUGAGAGCUUUUGUUACUUGUUUGUUACUUUAUCAUUUGACACACGUGUAUAUAAUAUACGCCAAGCACUGUUCUAAAUAUUUUACAAAUAUUAACUUGUUUAAUCAUUUACUAAUUCUCUGUGACUCUUCCUGUGAUUCUGCAUCAAUAGAAGCCAUCUGUCUAGUUGUGUGAGUUAGUCUUCCUCCCUCUAGUUAAUAAAUGUCCUAAAAUGGGUCAUUUCUCCUUACCUGCUCAUAGUUUUGACUUCUUAGCAGUUAGGUCAGAUUAGGGUCUCCUGAGCAGUGGUAAACCAGUGAGUGGUGGAAGACUAAGCAGUUUUUGCUGUUGUAGGUGAGAAAUCAACUAGAUGAAGAGAUAUUAUGCCUUUGCUGAGACGUAGGAAGGAAGCCUCUUUGCCCCAAGCCUCCCUGAGCAUACGUGGCAAUCUCUUCCAACCAUAGGGGCUGAAAGUAAUUCAGACCAGCAAAAUAGUUUUCCUCAAGUUCCAUCAUGGUCAUGUGAAUCAGUCAGGUCCCUUAGGGCUUCAAGAAAGCAGGUGAGCAGGUUGAACCUUCAUAGAACAGGCUUCAUAGAGCAGAAUCAGUCUUUGUUCCAGGUUUCUUUUUUUUUAUUUUUUUAUUUAAAAUUUAUUGAGGGCUUUCCUGUAUUUACUGGAAAGCCUGCUAGACAAAUUCUAAAAGAGCUGUAACACCCCCAGGUUUUAAGAGAGAUACCCUGCCCUGGCCGGGCGCGGUGGCUCAAACCUGUAAUCCCAGCACUUUGGGAGACUGAGGCAGGUGGAUCACGAGGUCAGGAGAUCGAGACCAUCCUGGCUAACAUGGUGAAACCCCAUCUCUACUAAAAAUACAAAAAAUUAGCCGGGCGCCUGUAGUCCCAGCUACUUGGGAGGCUGAGGCAGGAGAAUGGCUUGAACCUGGGAGGCAGAGCUUGCAGUGAGCCGAGAUCGCACCACUGCACUCCAGCCUGGGCGACAGAGUGAGACUCCAUCUCAAAAAAAAAAAAAAAAAAAAGAGAGAGAUACCCCGCCCUCUACCACUAUCCCUUGACUCUCUCUUGACACUAAGCAGAUCGGACAGUCUCAGCCAAUUCAGCAGGGGAACUCCAGAGCCAAAAUUGCCUAUUUGAAGUGUUUCACUGGCCAGGCGUGGUGGCUCACGCCUGU
rnacentral:lncRNA from 10 species